rnacentral:lncRNA from 1 species
UUGGGUUAAAGUUUGCUACAAAAAUGGUAAAAGGAGAAGCAGGUUAAUUAAUGUAUUAUCUGAAAGUAAAAAACGGACAAUGGACAAGGGAUGAAGGACCCUGAUCAAGGCAUAGAGUCAUAGCAUAUCAUCUUUGUUCAUUGCACAACCCAUAAGCUUGACCCGUUAUUAACUUUGAUGCAGGUUCCCAUGAAAAAGGUAUUGAACCAUGUUGCUCUCUAAAGCUUCAACUGAUGC